CCCCCCCCCCGGGCCCACCCCCACACGACCCAGCUCGCGAGCAGAUCUCGACGGUACCCGACGCCGCCGCUCCUCCCGAGGGCGCCCGCCGCCGCCGCUCCUCCCGACGGCGCGCUCCCUCCUCCCGAUAGCGCUCCCUCCUCCCAGCUCGCGAUCCGUUUCCCGACACGGCUCCGUCAUUCUUCCCGUCGCGGAUCCCGUGACUGGCGCUGCCCGCCGCCAGCAGCUGGCCAUCUCCCCGCAUCCAAGGCGACGCCCACCCGUUCCUGACGCCGCUCGCUCCUCCCAUCGCCAUUCCGCGAGUCCGAUCCGUCCUCCCGUCGCCGUCGAUCCCUCUCCACCUGCCUUUCGAUCAGCAUCCAUCAUGCCAACCAGACAACAUCUUGUGUGUUGUGGUUCAUCCUGCAUCACAACACACAAUUAACUAGAGUUCCGCUAGGCGACGCCUUAGGCGCGCCUAGGCGCGACUAGGUGCUAGUCGAUGCCUGUCCGCCUGGCUUAGGGGGAAGGCGGAGGUCUAGGCGAGCGCGGCGCCUAGGCGACUCCAGGCGGCGCGGAGGCGGCGAUUCGGCGCGCGGAGGCGCCCUAGGCGAGCGCGGAGGCGGUCGUCGCGGCCGGUCGCGCGAAAGUUUUCGCUCCCGCGGUGGGCGCGUGCGCAGACGCCUUCGAGCGCGGGAAAAGAAGCCCCGCGCGGGAAGAAUAAGACGGGGAGGAGGCCGCGCGUGCGCGGAAAGGAAGCCGCGGGCUCGGACGGCUGCUCACCUGCCUGCGACCCUGCCUCGAAGCUCGAAGGUCGUCGUCACCACCGGUCGAGCUCGUCCACGCCUUCCUCAUCCUUCGCCAGGAGCUCCUCCCCGCCUCACCGCCGGUGCAUCCCUCCCGCCGCCGCCUAGAGCUCCUCCACGCCUCCUGCACCCCUCCCCGACGGCUGCUCCUGCUCCCCUCCCUCCUCCCCCAGUGGUAGCCCCAAGUGGCAAGGUGAGUCCCCUCCCCCAUCGGUUGCUCUGCUCCCCUCCCCUAUUGCUGUGCUCCCCUCCUCUGCUUCUGUAUAUUGAUGACUGUGACUGAAUUUGAAUGACUGUGUGACUGAAUCUGAAUGGUAUUACUGUGUGUGUGUGAUUUAAGUUGAAAUUGCAGUUCAGCUGAUUUGGUUGAGGCAUGUAGCAUGCUGAUUUACUGGAAGUCAUGAUGAUUCAUGAGUUCAGGCAUGCUGAUUUAGUUCAGCUUGUACAGAACUGAUUCCUUUUGUGAGAACUAUGCGGUGUCUGAACAAGACCUUUAUUUAUGCAUUGUGUUGUGCACUUGUAAUGCUUUCCUGUCCACUUGUCUGUGAUUCAAAUUUGCAAUUACUAGCUGCUGCUACUCUCCUUUGGUGUGUUCCUGGAAUGGAUGGGAGAUGGCUGGUAUUCAGAUAAGUAUCAACUUCCUAUUUAAGCCACCCAGGUAUGUCUACUACUCUCUCUUCUAUAUACAUUCAGCAGUAUAUGCUUCUAUAUAACUUAUUUAUUCAGCAUUUUCUGCUGUAUAUAAUAUAUAUAUAUAUAUAUAUAUAUAUAUAUAUAUAUAUAUAUAUAUAUAUAUAUAUAUAUAUAUAUAUAUGUUAUUUAGUAAAAUGGCAAAACGCCUAGAAACGCCUAGGCUAGCCUAGGCGCUAGGCUAGGGGUCAUCGCCUAGAGAGCGCCUAGCGCCUAGCUGAACUUUGCAAUUAACCUAACAAAACCCUGACUUAUAGAAAUUCAAAGAUAAUUGCUUUAUAUAGAAAGUCAGGACUAGGAACCACAGAUGAUGAUUGUGUCAAAUACUAUUGAUAUUACUGGAGCUAUAAUAAACUUGAAUAAUCCAUAAAUUAUCUCGAUUACUUGUUUGUUCACUAUGUAAUUCGGUCUAAUACUCUAGGUCUAGUCUAAUGAACUGUUUCCAAAACCUGCUAGCCUAUCAAAUGCAUUAUGGUUCAACCUGAACCAUGGAGGGCCCGAUCUGAAUCAACACACGUGAAAGGAAAAGAUUCUUCAUGGUAUAGGCUGGGAGUCUCUUUGCUAAAUAAUUACUACCUUGAUUUGUGAAAAUGAAAACAGAAACUGGUAUUGAGAUAUACAGAUCUUAAUCCUUUAGCUUAUGAUAUGGUCACAUACCACAUGGAAUAAACUUUCACAAAUAAAUCUGUCCACAAAUGGUUUUGCUUUUAUUUGUUUUAUAGUAUAUAGUACUGGUAGUGGUAGUGGAUCAGCAUACCACUGCCUAAACCAUAUAUUCUCUGGCCUAGCUGUUAGGUCCUGUGGGUGUUAAGAAGGGAAAAAAAAUCUAUUUUGUUUCCGUUCGAUAUAUCAACAUAUUUUAUGGUGUUUUUACACUCAGUGCAUCAUUAUUUGCGAUUAGGAAGCAGGCAUGAUACUAGAUUACAUAGAAUUUAUGUUUUGUGUUUACACAUGGCAUAAUUUUAAUACUAGAUUGCUUGAAAGGAAUGAAUUUUGAUUUUCCUUGCUGAUAUGCAGGAUGGUCAUGAAACUCAUGGCAGGAGGCAGCUGCUGUAGUGGUGGCAUCGAUUUCCUGUUUCUGUUGGGGGUUUAGCACAGCUUGUUGGCAGAAUUAGUAAUUUGGCUUCAAUUCAGUAAAAGAAGUAUUUGCGACCAAGCUAGUUUGGUUGUAACGGCGGAGGCAAGAUUGAGCUCAGGAGGGUCUCCCCUUCUUUCUGGUUCGAUCCCACCUCGGUUCCGAAUAGCCUGAAUCAGACCAUGGGUCUACUUCCAGAUUUGGCUUGUGCCCACCGCCCAUCCUGCUGUUUACACCGCCACCCCACGCGUGCUCUACUUCUGCCAUGGCCUUUACCAUCCUGUCAAUUUAAGUGCUGAGGACGAGCGCGACGAUAUUGCAGAGCGGAUGUGGCAGCUGGUAGCAGUGUGGUGGGACAAGUAGCUGCAGUUGGUGCUUCAUUGGUCGAACAAGUAGCUGCAGUUGGUGCUGCAUCGGCAGCAUGACCUCGUGUCGUGUUUUAUUUCGAAGAUCAUAGCACAAGCAUUGAUGGCAUAUGCAGCUAUAUACUAGAACUGGACAUCGAUUUUGUAGUCUAGAUACAUUGAUUUUGCAAUAUGUUUGUUACAGAUCACAAAUAUUAGUUUCCGUUGAACGAGAUGAGUUUAUCACCAUAACUUGCGUGAACUGGUGAUCACAAAAUCAAUAUGUUCAACUAGCAAAAUGCUAGCUCUGAUGGCCAUUGAGAUCUA